CAACCUGCCCAGGGGACGUGGAUAACCUCGGGAAACUGAGAUUAAACCGCGAUAGGUCAAGAUUUCUGGAAUGGAUCCUGGCUUAAAUCUACAUGGCCCCUGGAUUGGACUGCGGCCGAUCAGGCUGUUGGUGAGGUAAUGGCCCACCAAACCUAUAACCGGUACGGGCUCUGAGAGGAGAAGCCCGGAGAUGGGCACUGAGACAAGGGCCCAGGCCCUAUGGGGCGCAGCAGGCGCGAAAACUCUGCAAUGGGCGAAAGCCUGACAGGGUUACUCUGAGUGAUUUCCGCUAAGGAGAUCUUUUGGCAGCUCUAAAAAUGGUGCAGAAUAAGGGGUGGGCAAGUCUGGUGUCGGCCGCCGCGGUAAUACCAGCACCCCGAGUGGUCGGGACGAUUAUUGGGCCUAAAGCAUCCGUAGCCGGUUGUGCAAGUCCUCCGUUAAAUCCAGCCGCUCAACGGAUGGGCUGCGGAGGAUACUACAGAACUAGGAGGCGGGAGAGGCAAGCGGUACUUAGUGGGUAGGGGUAAAAUCCUUUGAUCCAUUGAAGA
rnacentral:rRNA from 1 species